rnacentral:rRNA from 1 species
CUAGUAUAGCCAAUUUUAUCGUGAAACUGCGAAUGGCUCCAUAAAUCGGUUAUCGUUUAUUUGAUAGUACCCUACUACCUGGAUAACCGUGGUAAUUCUAGAAGUAAUCCAUGCUAAAAACCCCGACUUGGGAAGGGGUGUAUUUAUUAGAUAAAAAACCCAACGCCCUUUCGGGGUUCUUGGUGAUUUCAUGAUAACUUUACGGAUCGCAUGGCCUUGCGCCGGCGACGGUUCAUUCAAAUUUCUGCCCUAUCAACUUUCGAUGGUAAGGUAUUGGCUUACCAUGGUUUCAACGGGUAACGGGGAAUUAGGGUUCGAUUCCGGAGAGGGAGCCUGAGAAACGGCUACCACAUCCAAGGAAGGCAGCAGGCGCGCAAAUUACCCAAUCCCGACUCGGGGAGGUAGUGACAAUAAAUACUGAUACAGGGCUCUUUUGGGUCUUGUAAUUGGAAUGAGUACAAUUUAAACCUCUUAACGAGGAACAAUUGGAGGGCAAGUCUGGUGCCAGCAGCCGCGGUAAUUCCAGCUCCAAUAGCGUAUAUUAAAGUUGUUGCAGUUAAAAAGCUCGUAGUUGAAACUUGGGCCUGGCUGGCAGGUCCGCCUCACCGCGUGUACUUGUCCGGCCGGGCCUUCCUUCUGGAGAACCUCAUGCCCUUCACUGGGCGUGUUGGGGACCAGGACUUUUACUUUGAAAAAAUUAGAGUGUUCAAAGCAGGCCUUUGCUCGAAUACGUUAGCAUGGAAUAAUAGAAUAGGACGUGCGGUCCUAUUUUGUUGGUUUCUAGGACCGCCGUAAUGAUUAAUAGGGACAGUCGGGGGCAUCAGUAUUCAAUUGUCAGAGGUGAAAUUCUUGGAUUUAUUGAAGACUAACUACUGCGAAAGCAUUUGCCAAGGAUGUUUUCAUUAAUCAGUGAACGAAAGUUAGGGGAUCGAAGACGAUCAGAUACCGUCGUAGUCUUAACCGUAAACUAUGCCGACUAGGGAUCGGGCGAUGUUCUUUUUCUGACUCGCUCGGCACCUUACGAGAAAUCAAAGUUUUUGGGUUCUGGGGGGAGUAUGGUCGCAAGGCUGAAACUUAA